GUAGGGAAUAUUGGUCAAUGGACGAAAGUCUGAACCAGCCAUUCCGCGUGCAGGAAGAAGAUUCUAUGGAUUGUAAACUGCUUUUAGCAGAGAAGAAACGCCUUCAUUGAUGAGGGUUUGACGGUAUCUGCGGAAUAAGCACCGGCUAACUCCGUGCCAGCAGCCGCGGUAAUACGGGGGGUGCAAGCGUUAUCCGGAAUCACUGGGUUUAAAGGGUGCGUAGGCGGGAAAUUAAGUCAGUGGUGAAAGUCUGUUGCUUAACGAUAGAAUUGCCGUGUAUACUGAUUUUCUUGAAUUGGGUUGAGGUUAGCGGAAUGUGACAUGUAGCGGUGAAAUGCAUAGAUAUGUCAUGGAACACCAAUUGCGAAGGCAGCUAGCUGGGCCUUGAUUGACGCUGAGGCACGAAAGCGUGGGUAGCGAACAGGAUUAGAAACCCCAGUAGUCC
rnacentral:rRNA from 1 species